rnacentral:rRNA from 1 species
GACGAACGCUGGCGGCGUGCUUAACACAUGCAAGUCGAACGGAAAGGCCCUGCUUUUGUGGGGUGCUCGAGUGGCGAACGGGUGAGUAACACGUGAGUAACCUGCCCUUGACUUUGUGAUAACUUCAGGAAACUGGGGCUAAUACCGGAUAGGAGCUCCUGCUGCAUGGUGGGGGUUGGAAAGUUUCGGCGGUUGGGGAUGGACUCGCGGCUUAUCAGCUUGUUGGUGGGGUAGUGGCUUACCAAGGCUUUGACGGGUAGCCGGCCUGAGAGGGUGACCGGCCACAUUGGGACUGAGAUACGGCCCAGACUACUACGGGAGGCAGCAGUGGGGAAUAUUGCACAAUGGGCGGAAGCCUGAUGCAGCAACGCCGCGUGCGGGAUGACGGCCUUCGGGUUGUAAACCGCUUUCGCCUGUGACGAAGCGUGAGUGACGGUAAUGGGUAAAGAAGCACCGGCUAACUACGUG